rnacentral:rRNA from 1 species
UUAGGAAUUUUGCGCAAUGGGCGAAAGCCUGACGCAGCAACGCCGCGUGAGUGAAGAAGGCCUUCGGGUUGUAAAGCUCUUUUGUUCGGGAAGAAAAAAAUGACGGUACCGAAAGAAAAAGCACCGGCUAACUCUGUGCCAGCAGCCGCGGUAAUACAGAGGGUGCAAGCGUUAUUCGGAAUUACUGGGCGUAAAGCGCAUGUAGGUGGUUUGAUAAGUCCGAUGUGAAAGCCCUCGACUCAAUCGAGGAAGUGCAUUGGAUACUGUCAGGCUAGAGUAUGGGAGAGGAGAGUGGAAUUCCAGGUGUAGAGGUGAAAUUCGUAGAUAUCUGGAGGAACAACAGAGGCGAAGGCGGCUCUCUGGACCAUAACUGACACUGAUAUGCGAAAGCGUGGGGAGCAAACAGG